UACGUAGGUGGCGAGCGUUGUCCGGAUUUACUGGGCGUAAAGAGCGCGCAGGCGGUCGUGUAAGUCGAACGUGAAAGCCCCUGGCUCAACUAGGGAGAGUCAUUCGAUACUGUUCGACUCGAAGGCAGGAGAGGGAAGUGGAAUUCCGGGUGUAGUGGUGAAAUGCGUAGAGAUCCGGAAGAACACCGGUGGCGAAGGCGGCCUGCUGGGCAGUAGCUGACGCUGAUGCGCGACAGCGUGGGGAGCAAACAGG
rnacentral:rRNA from 1 species